rnacentral:rRNA from 1 species
UUAAGCGACUAAGCGUACACGGUGGAUGCCCUGGCAGUCAGAGGCGAUGAAGGACGUGCUAAUCUGCGAUAAGCGUCGGUGAGGUGAUAUGAACCGUUAUAACCGGCGAUUUCCGAAUGGGGAAACCCAGUGUGUUUCGACACACUAUCAUUAACUGAAUCCAUAGGUUAAUGAGGCGAACCGGGGGAACUGAAACAUCUAAGUACCCCGAGGAAAAGAAAUCAACCGAGAUUCCCCCAGUAGCGGCGAGCGAACGGGGAGGAGCCCAGAGCCUGAAUCAGUGUGUGUGUUAGUGGAAGCGUCUGGAAAGGCGCGCGAUACAGGGUGACAGCCCCGUACACAAAAAUGCACAUAUUGUGAGCUCGAUGAGUAGGGCGGGACACGUGGUAUCCUGUCUGAAUAUGGGGGGACCAUCCUCCAAGGCUAAAUACUCCUGACUGACCGAUAGUGAACCAGUACCGUGAGGGAAAGGCGAAAAGAACCCCGGCGAGGGGAGUGAAAAAGAACCUGAAACCGUGUACGUACAAGCAGUGGGAGCCUCUUUAUGGGGUGACUGCGUACCUUUUGUAUAAUGGGUCAGCGACUUAUAUUCUGUAGCAAGGUUAACCGAAUAGGGGAGCCGAAGGGAAACCGAGUCUUAACUGGGCGUUAAGUUGCAGGGUAUAGACCCGAAACCCGGUGAUCUAGCCAUGGGCAGGUUGAAGGUUGGGUAACACUAACUGGAGGACCGAACCGACUAAUGUUGAAAAAUUAGCGGAUGACUUGUGGCUGGGGGGGAAAGGCCAAUCAAACCGGGAGAUAGCUGGUUCUCCCCGAAAGCUAUUUAGGUAGCGCCUCGUGAAUUCAUCUCCGGGGGUAGAGCACUGUUUCGGCAAGGGGGUCAUCCCGACUUACCAACCCGAUGCAAACUGCGAAUACCGGAGAAUGUUAUCACGGGAGACACACGGCGGGUGCUAACGUCCGUCGUGAAGAGGGAAACAACCCAGACCGCCAGCUAAGGUCCCAAAGUCAUGGUUAAGUGGGAAACGAUGUGGGAAGGCCCAGACAGCCAGGAUGUUGGCUUAGAAGCAGCCAUCAUUUAAAGAAAGCGUAAUAGCUCACUGGUCGAGUCGGCCUGCGCGGAAGAUGUAACGGGGCUAAACCAUGCACCGAAGCUGCGGCAGCGACACUAUGUGUUGUUGGGUAGGGGAGCGUUCUGUAAGCCUGUGAAGGUGGCCUGUGAGGGUUGCUGGAGGUAUCAGAAGUGCGAAUGCUGACAUAAGUAACGAUAAAGCGGGUGAAAAGCCCGCUCGCCGGAAGACCAAGGGUUCCUGUCCAACGUUAAUCGGGGCAGGGUGAGUCGACCCCUAAGGCGAGGCCGAAAGGCGUAGUCGAUGGGAAACAGGUUAAUAUUCCUGUACUUGGUGUUACUGCGAAGGGGGGACGGAGAAGGCUAUGUUGGCCGGGCGACGGUUGUCCCGGUUUAAGCGUGUAGGCUGGUUUUCCAGGCAAAUCCGGAAAACCAAGGCUGAGGCGUGAUGACGAGGCACUACGGUGCUGAAGCGACAAAUGCCCUGCUUCCAGGAAAAGCCUCUAAGCAUCAGGUAACAUCAAAUCGUACCCCAAACCGACACAGGUGGUCAGGUAGAGAAUACCAAGGCGCUUGAGAGAACUCGGGUGAAGGAACUAGGCAAAAUGGUGCCGUAACUUCGGGAGAAGGCACGCUGAUAUGUAGGUGAAGCGACUUGCUCGUGGAGCUGAAAUCAGUCGAAGAUACCAGCUGGCUGCAACUGUUUAUUAAAAACACAGCACUGUGCAAACACGAAAGUGGACGUAUACGGUGUGACGCCUGCCCGGUGCCGGAAGGUUAAUUGAUGGGGUUAGCGGUAACGCGAAGCUCUUGAUCGAAGCCCCGGUAAACGGCGGCCGUAACUAUAACGGUCCUAAGGUAGCGAAAUUCCUUGUCGGGUAAGUUCCGACCUGCACGAAUGGCGUAAUGAUGGCCAGGCUGUCUCCACCCGAGACUCAGUGAAAUUGAACUCGCUGUGAAGAUGCAGUGUACCCGCGGCAAGACGGAAAGACCCCGUGAACCUUUACUAUAGCUUGACACUGAACAUUGAGCCUUGAUGUGUAGGAUAGGUGGGAGGCUUUGAAGUGUGGACGCCAGUCUGCAUGGAGCCGACCUUGAAAUACCACCCUUUAAUGUUUGAUGUUCUAACGUUGGCCCGUAAUCCGGGUUGCGGACAGUGUCUGGUGGGUAGUUUGACUGGGGCGGUCUCCUCCUAAAGAGUAACGGAGGAGCACGAAGGUUGGCUAAUCCUGGUCGGACAUCAGGAGGUUAGUGCAAUGGCAUAAGCCAGCUUGACUGCGAGCGUGACGGCGCGAGCAGGUGCGAAAGCAGGUCAUAGUGAUCCGGUGGUUCUGAAUGGAAGGGCCAUCGCUCAACGGAUAAAAGGUACUCCGGGGAUAACAGGCUGAUACCGCCCAAGAGUUCAUAUCGACGGCGGUGUUUGGCACCUCGAUGUCGGCUCAUCACAUCCUGGGGCUGAAGUAGGUCCCAAGGGUAUGGCUGUUCGCCAUUUAAAGUGGUACGCGAGCUGGGUUUAGAACGUCGUGAGACAGUUCGGUCCCUAUCUGCCGUGGGCGCUGGAGAACUGAGGGGGGCUGCUCCUAGUACGAGAGGACCGGAGUGGACGCAUCACUGGUGUUCGGGUUGUCAUGCCAAUGGCACUGCCCGGUAGCUAAAUGCGGAAGAGAUAAGUGCUGAAAGCAUCUAAGCACGAAACUUGCCCCGAGAUGAGUUCUCCCUGAGACUUUGAGUGUCCUGAAGGAACGUUGAAGACGACGACGUUGAUAGGCCGGGUGUGUAAGCGCAGCGAUGCGUUGAGCUAACCGGUACUAAUGAACCGUGAGGCUUAACCUU